rnacentral:rRNA from 1 species
UACGUAGGUGGCAAGCGUUGUCCGGAAUUAUUGGGCGUAAAGCGCGCGCAGGCGGUCCUUUAAGUCUGAUGUGAAAGCCCACGGCUCAACCGUGGAGGGUCAUUGGAAACUGGGGGACUUGAGUACAGAAGAGAAGAGUGGAAUUCCACGUGUAGCGGUGAAAUGCGUAGAGAUGUGGAGGAACACCAGUGGCGAAGGCGACUCUUUGGUCUGUAACUGACGCUGAAACGCGAAAGCUAGGGGAGCGAACGGG